rnacentral:rRNA from 1 species
GUAGGUGGCAAGCGUUGUCCGGAAUUAUUGGGCGUAAAGCGCGCGCAGGCGGUCCUUUAAGUCUGACGUGAAAGCCCACGGCUCAACCGUGGAGGGUCACCGGAAACUGGGGGACUUGAGUACAGAAGAGGAAAGCGGAAUUCCAAGUGUAGCGGUGAAAUGCGUAGAGAUUUGGAGGAACACCAGUGGCGAAGGCGGCUUUCUGGUCUGUAACUGACGCUGAGGCGCGAAAGCGUGGGGAGCAAACAGGAUUAGAUACCCUGGUAGUCCACGCCGUAAACGAUGAGUGCUAAGUGUUAGGGGGUUUCCCGCCCCCCUUAGUGCUGCAGCUAACGCAUUAAGCACUCCGCCUGGGGAGUACGGCCGCAAGGCUG